rnacentral:rRNA from 1 species
CGAACGGAACCUUUCGAGGUUUAGUGGCGGACGGGUGAGUAACGCGUGAGGAUCUGCCCUCAGGAUGGGGACAACAGUUGGAAACGGCUGCUAAGACCCGAUGUGCCGGGAGGUGAAAUAUUAAUAGCCUGAGGAUGAGCUCGCGUCCGAUUAGCUAGUUGGAGUGGUAAUGGCACCCCAAGGCGACGAUCGGUAGCUGGUCUGAGAGGAUGACCAGCCACACUGGAACUGAGACACGGUCCAGACUCCUACGGGAGGCAGCAGUGGGGAAUUUUCCGCAAUGGGCGAAAGCCUGACGGAGCAAGACCGCGUGGGGGAGGAAGGUCUGUGGAUUGUAAACCCCUUUUGUCAAGGAAGAAUACAAUGACGGUACUUGACGAAUCAGCAUCGGCUAACUCCGUGCCAGCAGCCGCGGUAAUACGGAGGAUGCAAGCGUUAUCCGGAAUGAUUGGGCGUAAAGCGUCCGCAGGUGGUUAUACAAGUCUGCUGUUAAAGUGCGGAGCUUAACUUCGUAAAGGCAGUGGAAACUGUGUGACUAGAGAGUGAUAGGGGCAGAGGGAAUUCCCAGUGUAGCGGUGAAAUGCGUAGAGAUUGGGAAGAACACCGGUGGCGAAAGCGCUCUGCUGGGUCAUAUCUGACACUGAGGGACGAAAGCUAGGGGAGCGAAAGGGAUUAGAUACCCCUGUAGUCCUAGCCGUAAACGAUGGAUACUAGGCGUUGUUCGUAUCGACCCGAGCCGUGCCG